rnacentral:rRNA from 1 species
AGACGUCUACAUUAGAUACCCGUGUAGUCCCAGCCGUAAACGAUGCGCGUUAGGUGUAUCGACGACCACGAGUCGUCGAGGUGCCGAAGGGAAACCGUGAAACGUGCCGCCUGGGAAGUACGGUCGCAAGGCUGAAACUUAAAGGAAUUGGCGGGGGAGCACCACAACAGGUGGAGCCUGCGGUUUAAUUGGACUCAACGCCGGGAAGCUCACCGGAUAGGACAGCAGAAUGAUUGCCGGGCUGAAGACCCUGCAUGACUAGCUG